GAGGUUCGCGCUGGUGGAGCACCCCAGCUUGCAGGUUCAGCGUGGGUGUCUCUCCCGGGCACAUCGAGCUGUCUAGAGGAACCCUCUUCCCCUGGCUUCACGGCCCAGAGGACGCACGGCUCUCUCCCCUCGAGAGCGUGUUUCGUCGCCCGCGCGGGGAACGCAAAGUGCUAGGGUAGUCACGGCCACUUCACGCCGAGGGACAUCUCAUCUCGCCCUCCAGGUCGUGAGCGCACCCAUUCCGCUCACUGAGGCCGAAAGCUUCGGACCUCCGUGGGCCCUGAGACUUCAGCGUUCCAUGUCUGCUGUGCUGUGGAACCCAGAGUGCUCUUGCCUGGAUGGCUGAGAAUCCCUUGGACCCUGGAAGCACCUACUCCAUGAUGGCCCGCAGGAGGACCAAACUGGAGACAGUCCUGGCUCUGAGGAAACAGGAAGGAAGGAGGGUGAAAGGAACGUCCACCUGCACACAAAGGAAAGAUGAAAAAGAGUCACCUACCAUGGGACCUGGCAAAGUACUUCAGAACUUUUAUUCCUUCCAGAAGCAGGUAAGUACCCCAAGUCCUCAUCGUAUUCCCAGCAUAGGGCUUGGUAUACGGGGGGAUAUUUCAUUCAGCAUAUUGGCUGAAUGAAAGGUCUGAUAGGUAUACCUGGGAGAAGGUCCUUAGGGACAUGGCUUAAAAAAUGAGAGAGGGGCAGGGCAGUGAGUCUAAAAGGAUGUGGAUGCUCACAUCUGCUCUUACAAUCAUGCUACAGUUCAUUUAUUGAGUGGAAACAGUUCCCUACUUAUUGACAAUUCAUUUACUGAAUAGGUAAUCAGUAAAUACAUUUUGUAUCAAUCUAACAAUUAGGCAUAAACUACAGCCUCCUACACCCAAUAUCUGAGGUGUUCUAAGAUUUAACUACUCAAAUGUUUGAUAUUUGAUAAAUUGUUUAAGUUCUCUGCAAUUCAGUUCCACCUCCUAUAACAGCACUUCUGAAAAUGUGGUCUGUGAACCUCUGAGGGGUUCCUGAGACACUGUCAGGGAGCAAGUGAGACAUGGCUAUUUUUAUAAUAUUAAACUAUUAGCCUUUGUCACUGUGUUGUCAUUUACCUAGGAUAGGUAC
rnacentral:lncRNA from 1 species